rnacentral:rRNA from 1 species
UAUGGGGGGGGCAAGCGUUGUUCGGAUUUACUGGGCGUAAAGGGCGCGUAGGCGGCAAUUCAAGUCAUCUGUGAAAUCUCCGGGCUUAACCCGGAACGGUCAGAUGAUACUGCUUUGCUAGAGUGCGGAAGGGGCAAUCGGAAUUCUUGGUGUAGCGGUGAAAUGCGUAGAUAUCAAGAGGAACACCUGAGGUGAAGACGGGUUGCUGGGCCGACACUGACGCUGAUAGCGCGAAAGCCAGGGGAGCAAACGGG